GGUGCACGAUUUCGCCAAAUUCUAAUUGCAACGAUUCAAUCGAGCCGGUAUUUAUUAUGGGCCAUGAGGCCCAUGACAAUCCUUUAUGCCGAAGCAAAUGGUCCAAAAUAGGCAUCCGCUGCUUUCUCUGUCGCCGGCUCCCCGCCGUGAGGCUCAAUGCAAUUGCAAAUGAAGACAGAAGGUACGGCUGGUUUAAUAUUACCCAAAAAAACAAUUAAAAAAUUAUUAAUUUUCCAAAAAUAAAAUAGAAUUAAAGAAAAUUAAAAUAAAAAAAGGGGAGAGUGCGUGGGAUCGGUGGAAGGACAAGGAUUGUCUGCCUCCUAGUUGUGGUGCCCUUCAAUGCUCUUUUAUUUUAUGCGAUCACGGUUAAGCCACGUUAAUAUUUUAUAUUUUAAUUAUUUUUUAUCUUAUUAUCUUAUUAAAAAAUUAAUAUAAAAUAUUAACAUGGCUUAAUCGUGAUCGCACAAAAUAAGAGGGUAUGGAAGGCGCUCCACAACUAGGAGGGCAGACAAUCCAAGUCCUCGGUGGAAACGAAUACUGACAGACUCGGAGAAAGGAGAGAGAGAGAGGACGACUUGGCAGUUGGGAAUUUUUGCUACAGAAAAAUGAAAUCAAGAAACCAAGAGAGCGAAUCGAAGUUCCAGAGGUGACACGCAACGCCCAUUCACCUGCUAACUGCGCCAUCGCUUCUGGAGUGACGACGAAGCAGAGCAAUGGAGGCUCUGCGGAGGCCACCUCUCCGUUGUGUUUGGUGAAAUGAGCAUCGAU
rnacentral:lncRNA from 1 species